GACGAACGCUGGCGGCGUGCUUAACACAUGCAAGUCGAACGGAAAGGCCCUGCUUUUGUGGGGUGCUCGAGUGGCGAACGGGUGAGUAACACGUGAGUAACCUGCCCUUGACUUUGGGAUAACUUCAGGAAACUGGGGCUAAUACCGGAUAGGAGCUCCUGCUGCAUGGUGGGGGUUGGAAAGUUUCGGCGGUUGGGGAUGGACUCGCGGCUUAUCAGCUUGUUGGUGGGGUAGUGGCUUACCAAGGCUUUGACGGGUAGCCGGCCUGAGAGGGUGACCGGCCACAUUGGGACUGAGAUACGGCCCAGACUCCUACGGGAGGCAGCAGUGGGGAAUAUUGCACAAUGGGCGGAAGCCUGAUGCAGCAACGCCGCGUGCGUGAUGACGGCCUUCGGGUGGUAAACCGCUUUCGCCUGUGACGAAGCGUGAGUGACGGUAAUGGGUAAAGAAGCACCGGCUAACUACGU
rnacentral:rRNA from 1 species